rnacentral:rRNA from 1 species
AGGAAGGUAGUGUAGUUAACACCUGCAUAUUUGACGUUACCUACAGAAGAAGCACCGGCUAACUCCGUGCCAGCAGCCGCGGUAAUACGGAGGGUGCGAGCGUUAAUCGGAAUUACUGGGCGUAAAGCGCAUGCAGGCGGCCUGUUAAGUCAGAUGUGAAAGCCCGGGGCUUAACCUCGGAAUUGCAUUUGAAACUGGCAGGCUAGAGUCUUGUAGAGGGGGGUAGGAAUUUCAGGUGUAGCGGUGAAAUGCGUAGAGAUCUGAAGGAAUACCAGUGGCGAAGGCGGCCCCCUCGGACAAAGACUGACGCUCAGAUGCGAAAGCGUGGGGAGCAAACAGGAUUAGAUACCCUGGUAG